GGAUAGCUCAGUUGGUUAGAGCUUGGUCCUGAUAGCGCCAAAGUUGCAGGUUCGAUCCCCGUAAGGAGCA